rnacentral:rRNA from 1 species
GUCCUUUAGAUUUUAAAUUAAAGGUCUAGCCUGCCCACUGAAAUUUUUAAAUGGCCGCAGUAAUUUGACUGUGCAAAGGUAGCAUAAUCAUUAGUUUUUUAAUUAAAAGCUUGUAUGAAUGGUUGGACGAAAUAAAAACUGUCUCUAAAUAAUAAUUAGAAUUUAAUUUUUAAGUUAAAAAGCUUAAAUUUUAUUAAAAGACGAGAAGACCCUAUAGAUCUUUAUAAUGUGAAUUUUAGUUUUAUUUAAGUUUAUUAUAUUAACAAAGAUUUUUAUUAUUUUAUUGGGGUAAUAAAAAGAUUAAAUAAAUUCUUUUUAAUUUAAAACUAUAAUGAUUGAGUAUAUGAUCCAUUUUUAUUGAUUAUAAGAUUAAGUUACCUUAGGGAUAACAGCGUAAUUUUUUUAAAGAGUUCAUAUCGAUAAAAAAGUUUGCGACCUCGAUGUUGGAUUAAAAAUUAUUUUGGGUGUAGAAGUUCAAAAUUUUUGGUCUGUUCGACCAUUAAAUUUUU